UACGUAGGGGCUAGCGUUGUCGGAUUAUUGGGCGUAAAGAGCGUGUAGGCGGCCAGGUAGGUCUGCUGUGAAAACUCGACGGCUCAACCUCGGAGAUGUCGGCGGAAACCAUCUGGCUAGAGUCCGGAAGAGGAGAGUGGAAUUCCUGGUGGUAGCGGUGAAAUGCGCAGAUAUCAGGAAGAACACCCGUGGCGAAGGCGGCUCUCUGGGACGGUACUGACGCUGAGACGCGAAAGCGUGGGGAGCGAACAGG
rnacentral:rRNA from 1 species